GACGAACGCUGGCGGCGUGCUUAACACAUGCAAGUCGAGCGGUAAGGCCCUUUCGGGGGUACACGAGCGGCGAACGGGUGAGUAACACGUGGGUGACCUGCCCUCAGCUCUGGGAUAAGCCUGGGAAACCGGGUCUAAUACCGGAUAUGACUCCAUGACGCAUGUUGUGGGGUGGAAAGCCUUGUGCGGCUGAGGAUGGGCCCGCGGCCUAUCAGCUUGUUGGUGGGGUGAUGGCCUACCAAGGCGACGACGGGUAGCCGGCCUGAGAGGGCGACCGGCCACACUGGGACUGAGACACGGCCCACGACUCCUACGGGAGGCAGCAGUGGGGAAUCUUGCGCAAUGGGCGAAAGCCUGACGCAGCGACGCCGCGUGAGGGAUGACGGCCU
rnacentral:rRNA from 1 species